GACAGGGUUUAAAAUACAAGGUCAUGAUUUCUCAUCCUUAGGUUUCGGGAGUUGAGGAAAUAUAGUGGUAGCUGUUUUAGUUUAAGACUCUUCCCAAUCCUUCCGUUCUUUCCACUCUACCUCCUUUUCCUUUUCCUUUUCUUUCUGAGUAAUUAUCUUCAUGUCUUUUGGUUAAUAGUUCUAUCUUAAGGAUGCACAAGCCCUCGCAUCCUAUUGAAAGCUUUCUAAAGAUUUCAUGUUUAGCUCCCAUUGUCCACACAUCUGAAUCAGUAGUAAUUCGCCCAUGAAAGCAUGACCCACCCCACCUAACCCAUUCUGGCCCGCCCAUUUAUUAAUUCAUUCCAUUUUGACUUGCUCAAUUCAGCAAUCUAAAAGUUGUGCUAAUAUAGCUAAAACUGACCCAUGAGAAAUCUAAUCAAAAUAUUUGUAAGACGACUUUUUUUUUUGUUGAUAUGUUGUAUAUAUCCAUAAUAAACAAAAAUAUUUAUUAGGCACUUAAACAAAGUACAAAAAAAUAAACAAAGAAACUAAAAAUAUAGUAAGAAUUGUCGAGCUGGUUAUGACACGUUUCUUAACCAUUUC
rnacentral:lncRNA from 1 species